rnacentral:tRNA from 6 species
GGGGACGUGGUGAAGCUUGGUUAUCAUGCCGGUCUGUCACACCGGUGGCCGCGAGUUCAAGUCUCGUCGUCCCCGCCA